GCCGGGUGCGGUGGCAUGUGCCUGUAAUCCAAGUCACUGGGAGGCUGAGGUUGGUGGAUCAAGUGAGCUGAGGAGCUCUGGGCUGCAGCACGCUAUGUCGAACGGGUGUCCACGCUAAGUUCGGUAUCGAUAUGGUGUUCCUGGGGAGCCCGGGACCACCAGGUUGUCUAAGGAGGGUGAACCGGCCCAGGUCGGAAACGAAGCAGGUCAAAUCCCCCGUGCUGUCCAGUAUGGGAUAAUACCUGUGAGUAGAUGCUGCAGUGCAGCCUUGGCAAAACAUCGAGACCUAAUCUUUU
rnacentral:SRP_RNA from 1 species